rnacentral:miRNA from 1 species
UCAGAGUUCAGCCACCCAGUUUGCCAGCUAUGACACUAAAGCGUAGCAUGGACCGAUAGAUAAGGGAUCCUGUUACCUGCGGAUGUCAUUGCUGGCUUUGGGUAUCCGUGCUGUGA